AGUUUAAUGGUAUGUUGAUCAGCUGUAUAUUGGUAAAACUCUAGUCGAGGGUUCAGCUGCACAAAUGAGCAUGCACUUUGUUGACUUCAGCAGCAUUGAUUUCAACAGCUGAGGACCUCUCUCUUAAUUCCAUUGAACAAAUUCUAACACAUGCAAAUUUAAAAAAAAAAUAAAAAAAUCUCUUGCUGGCAAAGUGAAUCCGUUUUAGCAGCACUGGAAAAAUGCAGUUAUUGUGGAACUUGGUCUCAUAGUAAGAGCAACAAUAAGGCUGUGGUAAGAGCUUUGGAUUCACUGGCGAUGUUGAAAACACAAGAACAUCCAAUGCUUGAAGAAGUGCUCUACCUUCAUCAGCGCCCAGGUCCAGCAGCAUCGCUGGUGAGGACUCAUGGCCCUUAGAGCAGGGGGUUGAUGGACCUGACAACAGGACUGAUCAAGGAAGACUACUGAAAAUCAUCAGCUUUGGUGUUCCUUCUCCUUUCCAAAAGCGGUUCCAGACCCUCAGAGUUCCUCCUCAAAGCCAUUGAUAUGCUCCAUCAUGUAUAUUACUCACGACGUCUCCUGUGGAAGUCACUUUUCUGAUGUUAGGACACUUUUGUCUCUUCACUUGUUUCUGUUCGUCAAACAAUGCUUUCCUCUUCCACAGUUAACAUCAUGAAGUGCAGGUCCAAAAUCCAUUGGUCUUGAGGGAGACCUCCCAGCCUGGCAAGGUUUUUGGUCAGGCUCAUGGAGUGUGAGAAGUCAUCCUCACAGGGCUCUGGAGACUGCAGCCGCAGGGAUUCCCUCAGCCCUCUGUUGCUCACCACUUCUCUGUGGCUUGGGAACAGGGAAACAUUUGGUAAACUUUGAGGAAAUAUUCAGAUAGUUCUGUACAGAGACAUGGAGUCUUAGUGCUUUACAGUGAAUAAAGUACAAUUCAUCCGUGCUCCAGUUGUGGCUAAGGAGAAACUGUGCUGUUGUGAAGAGCGUGGUCAGGCAAGGUCAGAUUACUGUCAUUCACAAGGGGCAUGGGGAUGCUAUAUCCUCAGUGUCUGGCAUGUGGAUAAAUGGUGUCACCAGUUUAA